AGAAUCAACGCUGGCGGCGUGCCUAACACAUGCAAGUCGCACGAGAAAGGGACUUCGGUCUUGAGUAAAGUGGCGCACGGGUGAGUAGCACGUGACUAAUCUACCCUCGAGUGGGGAAUAACUGAGAGAAAUCUUAGCUAAUACCGCAUAAUACUUACGAGUCAAAGCAGCAAUGCGCUUGGGGGAGGAGGUCGCGGCCGAUUAGCUAGUUGGCGGGGUAAUGGCCCACAAGGCGAUGAUCGGUA
rnacentral:rRNA from 1 species